rnacentral:misc_RNA from 1 species
GAUGAAGAACGUAGCGAAAUGCGAUACUUGGUGUGAAUUGCAGAAUCCCGUGAACCAUCGAGUCUUUGAACGCAAGUUGCGCCUGAAGCCUCGGCUAAGGGCACGUCUGCCCGGGCGUCACGCAUCGCGUCUCCCCCAAACCGCCAAGGCGGAGGGGAAGGAAGAUGGCUUCCCGUGCCUCACCCGGCGCGGUUGGCCUAAAUUUGGAGCCCGCGGCACUUAGCUCACGCGGCGAUAGGUGGUGAACAAGGCCUUGGCCGUGCAAACAACCCGCUGCGAAGCUCUAUGUCACGUGCGCUCGUCGGACCCUUUGAAGUUGCCUUCGGUGACUUAAAACCUUUGCGACCCCAGGUCAGGCGGGGCUACCCGCUGAAUUUAAGCAUAUCAAUAAGCGGAGGA